GAGGGUGUUGCGCAUGCUGAGCAGGCGCACGAGGCUUACGUCCUCGUAGAGCGCCCGCUCGAUCGCGUCCGGGCCGCCUUCG
rnacentral:tRNA from 1 species